GAACAUCUUACGGAUGGCCCAGGGCUCCAAAGGCUCGUUUCCUAAGUGAGAGAGAGCCUGGCUGAAGCUGUAUUACCAUUCAUUCUCCAGCCUCCGAAGUCUCAAAGCAUCACUUCCACCAUACUCUAACUGUCAAGACAAACACAAAGGCCCAGAGAAGGGGUCUCACUAUGUUGUCUGGAGUGCUGUGGUGGAGUGGAGUGGCUAUUCACAGAGCCUGUUCUGCUGGGACACAGAAUCACUUGCUCCAUCUCAUACAUUGAUGAUGAUUAAUUUGUAUGUGUACCUUCCAAAAAAGAUGGUUGUGUUUGAAUGGAGGCCUUCUGGACAGGAAAAUAUGGAGAGUGCGUGCUUUGGAUUCAAGACUGGGAAUGAGGGGACCAGAAACCUAUUCUGUGGCUGUUUCUUGUUAGGACUUUCCUAAGCCUCUGGAAAAGUGCAAAGUACAAUUAACAUUUGAGUCUGUCUGAGUCAUGAAGAAAUGGAGAUUACUGAAAAUAAUUCAUUUUGGUAUCUUCUUACAUCCUGAGAGACUAAUCUUUCCAAGUUCAUCUGAGGCUCCUCUUCUCCAUGACAACCUCAUCCAGGGAUUUCUUCCUGUCCUGGUGUUUUAUGACAUAAUCACAUCCUUCCUGAGAUAAUGAGCACACAAUUGCCUGGAUACCUGAAGGAAUGGAGACAGCGGCAGAAAACACUGCAGAGAGAUACAGUGAACCCACAUGUUGAAGCUUUCUAGUAUAAUAAAAAUUUCAACUGUUCUGUUGAAUCAUCUGCCUGAUUGGAGGCUACAGAAAAGAUGUCAUCUUAGGAGUGCUUGCUCUGAGUGAGGCUCAUCUUCAAAUCUGAAUGACCACAAGGAGAUUUGAUUAUACAUGUGAACACCUCAGAAGGCACAGCCCACCCAGAAGGCAGACAGAAGAAGCUGCCAGGAAGACUGUGAAAUCUUCAUGCCCAAGGAUCCCUAAAAUUAGGAGCAACAACCACUUGGCUCAGACGGUUUAUGGAGGCAAAGGUUUGGAUGGGAUUAGAGAUUUCUAAAUGUGAGUUCGUGUCCUCUGCCAGACCACCUUACUUCCACCAUUCCUCAGCAAAUCAAGAAAAACAGGAGAAAAGACAUGCCUUUCCAUAAGUUAAAUCUAUUCUGUUUUAAUUCUAUAUUAUAUCUGCUGUACAACUUCUUUUGUUUGUAACACCAUAUUGUUGCUAGUAACUGGAAAUUAAUUUUCACAUGCCUCAGCUUAGAAAAAUAAAAAGCAGCCCUGC
rnacentral:lncRNA from 1 species